rnacentral:rRNA from 1 species
UGGAUUAGGCAUGCAAGUCGAACGAAUCCCCAGGGGCUUGCUCCUGGGGGGAAGUGGCGAAAGGGGCAGUAAGGCAUAGGUAACCUACCCCGCGGUCGGGAAUAGCCGUCCUAACGGACGGGUAAUACCCGAUAGCCUCGCCGUGCGGCAUCGCGUGGCGAGUAAAGAAUUUCGCCGUGGGAGGGGCCUAUGUAGUAUUAGCUAGUUGGUGGGGUAACGGCCCACCAAGGCGAAGAUGCUUAGCGGGUGUGAGAGCACGACCCGCGCCACUGGCACUGUGACACUGGCCAGACACCUACGGGUGGCUGCAGUCGAGGAUCUUCGGCAAUGGGCGAAAGCCUGACCGAGCGACGCCGCGUGUGCGACGAAGGCCUUCGGGUUGUAAAGCAC